CGUAUGAGGGUAAAGGCAGUUUCACAUGUUCAUCAUAUCAGGAUAUCGGAACAGCAUGUUUUUCAGCAUAAAGAGCAUAUCUCCAUUGUAUUUGCUCAUAGCUGCUUUAUGUAUAGGAACAGAAUGUGCUGAAAAAGUAUCUCAGCCACCUCACGUGAAAGGUUUGGAAGGGAAAGAAGUCGCAAUAUUUUGCAAUCAUUCUGAGGCUUCAUCUUACAAUACCCUCUGGUAUUCUCAAAUGGUUUAUGAAGGCCCUAAACUUGAAAUCAUGCACUAUGAUGGAAAUAAAAGGGAUGGUCGGCUUACAUUAAAUGUUGACAGAAAAGGAAUGACAACAAACCUUACCAUAAGGGAUGUCACAAUUAAAGACGCAGGUGUUGUUUAUUACUGUGCAGUGAGUGACACACUAACACAAAACCUAUCAGCUGUAGCACCAUAAACCUCUGGGUAUAACAGAAUGCACUUUACAGAAUAUAUUGUUAAAACUGUAUGUAUUUUAUGAGACUAUAAUGAGAGAUUUUUUACUGCAUACUUCAUUUUAGUCUUGAUUUAGAGGCACUAUUAAAUUGCUUUACGCUAUAUAUUUUAAUAUAAUGUAUUACAACAGGUUGCUAUCAUGUUAAUUCUGCAGCUUUUUCUAAUCUAAUUUUCAGCUCAGCUCUACAAGCUGAGUAAUAAAUUUUGUGAAUGUUAUUGUGGAAUCUGCAAUGGGGUACAGCUUCCUCAUUAUGGACCCCGGAUUUUAGCUAGGUCACAUAUCAUCAGUGCAAUGUCAGUAUCAGUGAUAACCCUUAAACACAGAUAGUAUAAACUAUAUCAUAGAUAAGAUUAUGGCUUGCCUGUUGACAAUAUCCAUAAAGAAUUUGUCUUACUCUUCCUGGGAAUUUAAUUACAUGCCAAAAACUAUUCCUCUGUAUUGUACUUUUGACUACUCAUGAACAAUACUUAUGGCG